ACGACACUCUUUGUCUUCAUUGUUUUUAAGUAGAAAAGUGAAACCAUUUCAUACACGUUUCCUCUAACCAUGGCUUUAACGUUUGUUAGAUACUUGAAACGGUUUCUUCUUUCCAAAAGUGUUGUGGGGUUCCUUUGAUUCGGAUUCAUUAUGGGGUAAGAGAGAUAAGAAGGUAUCAGAUUCCCAUAAUUGGAGGAUACUCAUCAUGUUGUUGAAGUGGUAAUCUAGGACUACUUCAAGUCCUCCCUCCAUUUUGAAUUGGAGUGGAACUGCCUUUACCCUAACUUGGAUCCGACUAAGCUGCCUUCCAAGCUAAGUGCUUAAGAA